AUGGAUCAGCAGUACAGAAGAGGGCCCAAUUUCCCUGUUGAGGCACGAAGAAACGUGCUAAUAGUAAAGCCAGCUAAGUUAAACAUCUCUGAAUUUGAGGGUCAGGACCCAGAGUCUUGGAUUCAGAAUUUGGAGCAGUACUUUGCUGCAGCCAGAACUCCUAUUGAGCACAGAACUAAGCUGGCAGUUUCUUACCUUAAAGGGCCUGAUGUACAUUGGUGGAGAGGAACAGGAUUUGCUCCUAGCAAUGUUCCAUGGCACAAGUUUUGCUCUUACAUCUCUGACAGAUUUUCUAUGGAUUCUGUCUGUGACAUUGUCAGCUCCUUCCAUGCAGCUCAACAAACUACUACAGUUACUGCAUAUGUGGAGUAG
rnacentral:rRNA from 1 species